CACAGAACCUGCAGGAACCAACAAUGUGGACAAAUGAAAAAUGCCUUUUGUCUAUAAAUUGCAGUGAUCCUAUAUAAACAUGGAGGUUUCUGUAUGGUUUAAGACAGCUGGCUAAGUCUGAUCGUUCCCCUCCACACAGC